rnacentral:rRNA from 1 species
CAAGUCGAACGGCAGCACGGGGGCAACCCUGGUGGCGAGUGGCGGACGGGUGAGUAAUACAUCGGAACGUGUCCUGUAGUGGGGGAUAGCCCGGCGAAAGCCGGAUUAAUACCGCAUACGAUCUGUGGAUGAAAGCGGGGGAUCCUUCGGGACCUCGCGCUACAGGGGCGGCCGAUGGCAGAUUAGCUAGUUGGUGGGGUAAAGGCCUACCAAGGCGACGAUCUGUAGCUGGUCUGAGAGGACGACCAGCCACACUGGGACUGAGACACGGCCCAGACUCCUACGGGAGGCAGCAGUGGGGAAUUUUGGACAAUGGGCGAAAGCCUGAUCCAGCAAUGCCGCGUGUGUGAAGAAGGCCUUCGGGUUGUAAAGCACUUUUGUCCGGAAAGAAAACCUCGUGGUCAAUACCCGUGGGGGAUGACGGUACCGGAAGAAUAAGCACCGGCUAACUACGUGCCAGCAGCCGCGGU